GAUGAACGCUGGCUACAGGCUUAACACAUGCGAGUCGAGGGGAAACGACGGGGAAGCUUGCUUCCCCGGGCGUCGACCGGCGCACGGGUGAGUAACGCGUAUCCAACCUGCCUCUGACUGAGGGAUAACCCGUCGAAAGUCGGCCUAAUACCUCAUGGUAUCGUCUGCGGGCAUCCAACGACGAUUAAAGAUUUCAUCGGUCAGGGAUGGGGAUGCGUCUGAUUAGCUUGUUGGCGGGGUAACGGCCCACCAAGGCUACGAUCAGUAGGGGUUCUGAGAGGAAGGUCCCCCACAUUGGAACUGAGACACGGUCCAAACUCCUACGGGAGGCAGCAGUGAGGAAUAUUGGUCAAUGGGCGAGAGCCUGAACCAGCCAAGUAGCGUGCAGGAAGACGGCCCUAUGGGUUGUAAACUGCUUUUAUGCGGGGAGAAAGUGAGGGACGUGUCCCUCAUUGCAGGUACCGCAUGAAUAAGGACCGGCUAAUUCCGUG
rnacentral:rRNA from 1 species